AAAAUGGUAUCAAACGUUUGUCUCGGUCUGGGUAAGAUGGAAAAAGGGCAUUUUACCCCGAACAUUGGAAUAUUCCUUUAAAAUAAUUCUAUGAAGUUGG